CCACCUCGUAAGGAUGGGAAGGUAGAAAGAAAAUGGGGGUUGGGACUGACGUUUGACGUCUUAAGCCAAAUAAUGUGUUCUGGCCCUACGUUCUUUAUUGGCUGGACCAAAGGACCAGCGAUUUCACAGAGAAAAGUGUUACAUGUCUCCAGAUGGGGCAGAAGGAAUUCAACAAGGCCCUUCAACAUGAAAGUCGAGCUUGACAUCUGUCAAAGGCACUCCUUUACAAAUAGAUACACCGUCCACAGCCUUGACACAAACUUAACUGUGGGAUA